AUUGAACGCUGGCGGCAGGCCUAACACAUGCAAGUCGAACGAGUGGCGGACGGGUGAGUAAUGUCUGGGAAACUGCCUGAUGGAGGGGGAUAACUACUGGAAACGGUAGCUAAUACCGCAUACCAUCAGAUGUGCCCAGAUGGGAUUAGCUGGUUGGUGGGGUAACGGCUCACCAAGGCGACGAUCCCUAGCUGGUCUGAGAGGAUAACCAGCCACACUGGAACUGAGCCACGGUCCAGCCUCCUACGGCAGGCAGCAGGGGGGAAUAUGGCACAAUGGGCGAAAGCCUGAUGCAGCCAGGCCGCGUGAAGGAAGAAGGCCUUCGGGUUGUAAAGUACUUUAAGCGGGGAGGCGUUACCCGACGAAGAAGCACCGGCUAACUCCGUGCCAGCAGCCGCGGUAAUUC
rnacentral:rRNA from 1 species